UUUUACCUGCCAUCCUCAGCAAGCCUCUAUCUCAAGAUACCAAGAAACUUUCACCCGGACAUACCCUGUGUUCUUUGCCUGGGUAGAAUCCCACAACUAACUCUGCUAUUGCACUCUUUGCCAAUUACUCUUGGAACUUUUUUUACCUGCCAUCCUCAGCAAGCCUCUAUCUCAAGAUACCAAGAAACUUUCACCCGGACAUACCCUGUGUUCUUUGCCUGGGUAGAAUCCCACAACUAACUCUGCUAUUGCACUCUUUGCCAAUUACUCUUGGA